AUGCCCCUCCGGUGGUCCUCCUUGGGCUCUCACACUCUGGGGCCUCUGGAUGUCUGGGGCCUGGAUCUCCUCCAUGCCUGCUUCAUGCCCUGGAGAAUGGGCUAUGGCUCUCUACAUCCUCUUGCAGACCGUUACAUGGGGAAACCUUUUGAAUACAAGCGCGCUGAUCCACACAGGUGUGCACACGGGUGUUCACUGUUCAUAGACAUAAACUACACCUUUAUUGGUGCUAUUUCCAAGCACAUUGUGCGCUGUCUGUCCUGCGUGCUGCACAACAACAUUCAAUAUUUAGUAUUUACUGCUGUUUACACUUAGCUAGAUUAAUGUGAUGGUGUUGUGUUUAGUAUGUUGCUUUGUUUUUUUUGCUUGUUUUCUAUUCUUUUUCUCUCAACAGGUGAUCCAGAAGAUUUUUUUCUCUUCUUUCUCUUUUUAAGUGCCCUCUCUCACUGUCCCUCUCCCCUUCUGUUUUUCUUUUCCUUCCUCUUUCUUUCUCCCUUUCCUAUCCCUCAGUCAUGUCUGUCCCGUCUGUAACAACUGAAAAUAAAAUAAAAUAAAUAAUAACAACAACAAAGGUCGAUCAAAUGGACCAGUACGGCAAUGCCACGAUGAUCCAUUUGGCAAAGUAAAUCCAUCGGGUCUCCUUGUUGGUCUUCAGACAACAAUUCUGACGGCUAAAGAACCAAAUGGGACAGGCAAAAAAAAAAAUGCUGCAUAGAUGGAAACAGGCAGAACAGGUGAAAUUAUUGAUGUGAGAUUUAUAGGAAAGUGAACUGUCUAGGAUGACACCAAAGCUCUUAACCUGAGGAGAAGGGAAAACUGUGGCGUUAUCGAUAGUGAGAGAGAAAUGGUUCGCCUUCAAAGGGUGAACCAUCACUCCUUCAGUUGCACACUUAAAACUCAAACAUGAACACACAUCACACCGUCAGGAGGCACUAAUGUGCUCACAAAACCUUCCACGCAGUGCGAUGACCGUAACUUACCAGCCACUGUUGGCCAGAGAGAUGGAGAUGGAGCUUAGAAGCAGGUUGCAUUUCGACUCACUGAUGACGGCCUCACAGUUCGUUCCAGGGCUGAUGACCACAAACUCUCGUAUGCCAAACCUACCAAGACAUACAGCAUCACAGCAGACAUUUAUCCACAUAGGAUGGAAGAAACAUUUGCUUCAUU
ensembl:lncRNA